AGGUACACUCGGCUCCCUGCCUGCCUGUUCCGAGACUGGCAUGUCCUGUCCAGUUCAGCUAUGGGCCCUCCAUAGGACGAGAACGUGGAGUCUCUGGGGGGAGGGAGGAAGCUCAGCACUAGCAUGCAGCCAGUAAGGGCUAUGAGGACGGGGCCCUGGACGACUCCUCGGAGCCACCCCUUGGGACACAGAAAGAGAGAGCAAGAGAGCACAAGCAGGGGAGUAGCAGAGGCAGAGGGAGAAGCAGACUCCCCACUAAGCCCAACACAGGGUUCUAUCCCAGGACCCUGGGAUCAUGAGCUGAGAUGAAAGCAGAUGCUUAACCACCUGAGACACCCAGCAUGGAGGGACCGAUAGAUUUGCAGUAUGAGAGCUCCACGUGUGGGAAUCCAUCCUGUGCAACCCUCGCUCACAAUGGCAAUCCGAAUUACAACCUCCUGGGAGGAUUCACGCACCAAAGUAACAGCCCUCAUCUCUGAGGGGCAGCAUCACCUGUUCGGUUCCUUUUCUGCUUGUCAUCUACACGCGUCCCCAUUAUGGGAGCAUUCUUUUGCAAGAGCCACAUGUUCCUCCUUCAAUAGGAAGGAAUGAACCAAGACAUCGGUCAGGCAGGAGAAACCUUCCAGUCACUGUGAUUCCUUCAGACCCAGCACAUCCCCAUCCACCUAGGCCGUGUGGACACCACCUGCAGCAGCCCCUACCCACGUUAAGAAGUGCUGGCUCCCUAGCAGGUCCUUGGCAAAGGGCGGGAGGGAGAUGACGCGGCGGAAGGAGUGCCAGCUUUUUGGAUCCCGACUCUCACCUGGGAAGGGAGCAAUUAGUUUUCAUAACCUCAGGCAGAUGAAUGAUGCAAACUUGUAACAAUCGUUUGGAAGUGUAUUUAUUUAAAUUUCUUUUCUCUCUAAGCAGUUUUGCGACUGCUGAACGGUAAAUUUUCGGUUUGUUGCAGCACAUUCAUGGUCUUGCAGGCAGGGACCCUGCAAGGGAGGCAAACUGAUUUUCCCAAGCAAACAGCAAAACAACAGCUUUCCGCUCUGACUUUCCCAGGUCCACCUCUCUCCGCCCCUUCUUGCACCUGGGACCUUCUGAGGAUAUCCCACCCCUCCCCUGGGCGGGGCCAACACCGAGGAACCCGGAUUCUCAACCCUCCCUUCAAGACCCCGUAUCUCCAGCCCCCGCGGGCUCUGGGGGAAUAGGAGGAGACAUCGACGCUGGGGGGAGGGGUUGCGGCUUACGCGAGGCCUCUAGGACGCUGCUUUACGGCAGAGAUGGGAGAGGGGCUCAGUCAGACCGCCUGCCCCCGCGUGAGCGACCGGACUUCACCUUGUCGUUCCCGCCGGCCAUCGGCCUCCGCCAGGCCAAUGGCUGCACUAGACCCGACGUGGGAAACCCCAGGAGUCUCCACAAAGAGGAUCCAGUUCAUAUACCUAUAUGUUGGGAGGUUGCCAUGCAAUAUGAUGUUCUGGGCUGCAGAGUUCCUGAACUGUGUGAGGAGAAUACCUGGAUUCUCUCAUUAUGGGACAUGAUGUCCACCUCAAGGAGUGGCUCUGAGGCUGCGUACAGGUGUCUGUUUACCAGAGUUCGAAUGUGUGUGACCGGAAUACAUUUUCCAAUGUCAGUGUCCACCCAGAAGAAAUCAGUUUGUCAAACCGAAAUACCAUGGACCCAAUUUUUCAAAUCAUCAAAACAAUUUCCUCUCAACAGUUUUGCUUCUAUAACAUAUUCUGUCACAAUAUCCAGGGCAACUUAAUGAGCUUUUUCCCCACCUGAAAAAGAUAAGUUGUUUUUAAAAACCCUUAUUUAUAGAGUCACUGAAACUAAAAUGUAUAAUUGCCAGUAAGUCUGCUUGUGGCCACAUUUUCCUUCUGACAAGAUCAUUUUCUUUUUAAAAAAAAGAUUUAUUUAUUUUGAGACAGAGAGUGUGGACGAGGGUGGGGGGAGGUGCAGCGGGCAGGAACUAAGAGAGAAGAACCACCAGCGGUCUCCCCACUGAGUGCAGAGCUACCACCCUGAGAUUACGACCUGAGUCAAAACCACGAGUCGGACACUUAAAUGAUUGAGCUACCCCAGGCACCUCUAGAUUAUUUUCUACCAUUGAACUCAAUGUGACAAGACAAAGAGUCUAUGUAGCUUUAGUACUUUGGUCUGAUGUUGCUGGAAUUCUGUUCCAAGGCCUUUGAAUUUUUUUCCUUGCAGCUCAUCUUGAACUUGGGGUCAGGUUCUGAAUUCUUCACUUCUCUGCAUUAAUCACCACUAUGAAUGUACACAUAGUUUCAGGAAGGCUUUAAAUAAUAUUCCAUGUUAAAUAAAUGGAGGAUUUUUUGCUCGCUGAAGUCUCAGACACUCAGAAGUUCAGGGUUCUUGAUUAUUUUCAUGACAGUUCUGUGCAGAGGCAGGGCUGGUGGCCAUCAUGGUAGCAAGAUGAACUGUGCUCCUAACUUCAGGUAAAAAACCACUUCUCACUUCUGGAAAAUAAAAACGAAAAAAUGAGAGGACAGAAUAGUUUUUCUUUAUAUAGCAUGAACACAUUUAUUGUUCUGCUGUUGAAAAUUGAUUGUACUUAACUUCUAAGACUUAAUUAGAAAGCAAAUCCUCAUAAUAAGCCCUUAACACCAAAUGCUGGUGAGGCUGUGGCACAGCAGGAACUCUCGUUCAUUGCCAGUGGCAAUGCUCAGUGCCACUUUAGAAGACAGUUCUCAUGCAAAACCUUUUUACAAAGGUUUUAUUUUUUUAUUUGAGAGAGCAUGAGUUCGGGGAGGGCAGAGGGAGAAGCAGACUUCCCCCUCAGCAGAGCCCCAUGUGGGGCUCGAUCCCAGGACCCUGGGAUCAUGAUCUAAGCCGAAGGCAGACACUUAACUGACUGAGCCACCCAGGCAUCCAAAAGUAACCAUCCUCUUACCAUAAGAUCCAGCGAUUGUGAUUGUAUUUACCCUAGGGAGUUGAAAACCUGUCUGCACAGAAGCCUGUACACAAAUGUUUACAGCAGCUUUAUUCCUAAUUGCCAAAACAUGGAAGCAACCAAGAUGUCCUUUAGUAGGUGAAUGGAUAAAUGAAUGGUGGUACCUCCAGACAAUGGAAUAUAAAUGGAAUAAAAGAAACGAACAAUCAAGCUACAAAAAGAUACAGAGAUGGGGGCACCUGGGUGGCUCAGUCAGUUCAGUGUCUGACUUCAGCUUAAGUUUUUGAUCCCAGAGUCCUGGGAUUGAGUCCCACAUAAGCCUCCCUGCUCAGCAGGGAGUCUGCUUCUCCCUCUCCACUUAUGGAGUCUCUCUCAAAUAAGUAUUUUUAAAAGACCAGUAGUUAUGAGGGAUUCCACAGGGUGGGGGGGAUGAGAUGAAUUGGUGGAAACAGGAAUAUUUUUUUAGGGCAGUAGAACUCUGCUAUAUGAUAAUGUAAUGGUGGAUACAUAUCCUUAUGUAUUUGUGAAAAUCCAAAGAAAUACACCGCAAAUGUUGAACUGCACUGUAAACUGUGGCCUUCAUUACCCGUAACAAAUGGACCACAGUAAGGCAAAUUGUUAGUAAUAGAGGAAACUAGAAAGAGGGAGUAGGUGAGGGAUUAUCUGUGAACACUGCACUUUCUAGUCAUUUCUUGAUAAACCUAAAACUACUCAGAAAAAUAGACUAUUAAUUUUUUAAAGAACUAUCAAGCAGUUAAAUUUCUUUACUGUAUAACCUUGAAAAGAGAUUGUACUGAUAGAAUGCUCAAAUGAAUGGACAUUAAUGCAAAUUCGAAUCUUUCUACUUCAACCUUCAUUGUCUGGCAUCCAAAAAGAGGUGCUACUGUGUAUAAAAUAGUUAUGUCCUCUGAGAUGGCUGAGGCAAACCACUUGUAUGAAAUGUUAUAAGAAUAAAGGUGGGAGGUUAAAAUAUAGUACUAGGCCAGAGAGAGCAUCUGAUGGGGGUGACAGGUUCCAGAACAGAUUCCAGAAUAUACCACCCCAAAGUAUGUCUCUUUGGAACAGGGACUGUUCUAAGCUAAAGGCCGUUGAGAACCAGCCAACAUAGGAAGGGUUCCAAAAAUGACACAAGCUUUCUUUCAUAAAGGACAUUUCUAUUGGUAAAGAGUUUCUCUCCCCCUCACCAGGGAGAGGAAGGCUAUUACUAUUUAAUUUUUUCCCCAGAUUUACUGAGAUAUAAUUGACAUGUAACGUGGUCUGAGUUUAAGGUAUACCAUGUGAUUUGAUAUACGUACAUCAGAGGUAAAUGUACAUCUAAGGAUAUGAUUACCACAGUAGAGUUAGAUAACAUGCAUCACCACUAUGCAGUUACCUUUGUGUGUGUGUGGUGAGAACUUUUAAAGAUCUCUUGGCAACUUUACAAUCACCAUGCUGUUCAUUAGACCCCCAGAAUAAAUAAUUUUAUUAUUA